AGGGCCACACCAACAGGCUUAUGAAGAGAGAAAAAGAAUAUGAGCAAAACUGAGUUAAGCUUGUUGAUGUGGCCCUCC
rnacentral:pre_miRNA from 1 species